CCUACGGGUGGCAGCAGUGAGGAAUAUUGGUCAAUGGACGCGAGCCUGAACCAGCCAAGUCGCGUGAAGGAAGACGGUCCUAUGAGUUGUAAACCUCUUUUGUCGGGGGGCAAAAGACGCCACGCGUAUCUUUCCGAGAGUACCCUACGAACAAGCAUCGGCUAACUCCGUGCCAGCAGCCGCGGUAAUACGGAGGAUUCGAGCGUUAUCCGGAUUUAUUGGGUUUAAAGGGUGCGCAGGCGGAAGAUCAAGUCAGCGGUAAAAUUGAGAGGCUCAAUCUCUUAGAGCCGUUGAAACUGGUGGGCUUGAGUGAGGGAGAGGUAGGCGGAAUGCGUGGUGUAGCGGUGAAAUGCAUAGAGAUCACGCAGAACUCCGAUUGCGAAGGCAGCAUACCGGGGUUCAACUGACGCUCAUGCACGAAAGUGUGGGUAUCGAACAGGAUUAGAUACCCUGGUAGUC
rnacentral:rRNA from 1 species